rnacentral:miRNA from 1 species
CUCCGAGUACAGCACGUCGAGC